rnacentral:tRNA from 1 species
GAGGUAUUAGUAAAUAGAUUACAUCACUUUGUCAAGGUGAAAUUACAAGUUAAACUCUUGUAUAUCUUU